ensembl:lncRNA
GGACUGACGCGUUCUGCAAUGCCUCUCACAUACCUCUCUGCAGCCAGGAGGGCACGCAGGCACACAGACUGCUGGGAGACAGCUGUGUCUUUGUGCAUCCUUCCCAUCACCCACCAAAGGCACACGCUUCUCGAAGCCUGGUCUGAAAGGAAAGCACAAGCAGAGCUACACAAGCAUCACUCCUCUGAGCUUUUGUAGGGCUUACAUGACUCAAUAGAGAGGAGGUUUGUGGAUAGCAAGGUAGUUAGCAGCAAGCAAGAGUUAGUAGCAAUGUAGUUAGAUCAUAGCCAGAUAGCUGAUAGGGGGAUGCAGGAUAGAAAGAUGGGUGACUGGGAGAUAGUUAAUUUAUAGACUGCAAUAGUGAAAGUUGCUGAAAAGAACUUUGUCUCUGUUUCAGAUGAGCCACUGCGCCCUGGGACACCACUCUCCCCUCAGUACGAUGAAGACCAACACCUGAUGCUGCUCCAUCACCAGCAGAAGAACAGCAGCUCUGCAGAGACCCGUCCUGCCAGCAGAGCAUCACGGAGAAGAAGACGCGCCUUCUGCUCACAGGAAGACGAGUCCCUGCACAUCACUUCACCCCCUUCUCCAGGAGGAAGCAGGAUCAGCGCCCGGUGCUGCCCCAGCGCCGGCAGAAGAACAGCGGCUCUUGGAAGCGUGACCUGCUGGGAGAUCGUCGGGGAGAAGAGGACGCGCCUUCUGCGCCGAGGGAGCCUUCUCCUGUCAUCCGACCUUCAAGGAGACGAUGCUCAGCUGCUCCGGAACAGCCACGGAGGAAACGGACGGAAGAGGAGAGCCCAGAUGACUGCGCCCGUGUGACCUUACAUACAAAGACUGAAUGCAGAGACUGAGCCAGCAAACAAUGGAGUAGAUAGCAUAGAGAGUUAGUUAACACUAAAAUGUAUUAGCAUAGCAUAGUGCAGUUGUCAAAUAGCUUUGUAAAUAAAUUCACUUUGUUCGUAUCCUUAUCUUGUGUUGUUUAAAAUGAUGGGGAUGGGUAGUCUGAUACUUCAGGAAAUAAAUGAUUUGGAA